GUUAUAACAUUGUUUUUGUAUAUCUGAAAAUGACUUUUGUUUUUUGCAGUGCAAGAACGGACCUAGUGAUGUAGGAUCUACACCAUCUCCUUGUAUAUGCCCUCCAGGAAAGCAAGGACCACCUGGGGCAAAAGGAGAUCCCGGUCAACCUGGGACUCAUGGCUAUCCUGGAGAACCUGGUCCAGAUGGUAAGCCUGGCUAUCAGGGAAGAGCAGGAACUCCAGGUGUUCCAGGUUUCCCAGGGAUCCAAGGGCCACGUGGUCUUCCAGGUUCAAAGGGUGAACCUGGGUCAGAUGGGAAAAAAGGUGAACGUGGACUUCCAG
rnacentral:lncRNA from 1 species